rnacentral:rRNA from 1 species
CAGUCGCCACGGGAAUACAGAGGGUGCGAGCGUUAAUCGGAUUUACUGGGCGUAAAGCGUGCGUAGGCGGCUUCUUAAGUCGGAUGUGAAAUCCCCGGGCUUAACCUGGGAACUGCAUUUGAAACUGGCAGGCUAGAGUCUUGUAGAGGGGGGUAGAAUUCCAGGUGUAGCGGUGAAAUGCGUAGAGAUCUGGAGGAAUACCGGUGGCGAAGGCGGCCCCCUGGACAAAGACUGACGCUCAGGUGCGAAAGCGUGGGGAGCAAACAGGAUUAGAUACCCCUGUAGUCCCUGUCUCUUAUAC